rnacentral:sRNA from 1 species
GCCAUGUUGCCCAGGCUGGUUUCCAACUCCUGGACUCAAGCGAUCCUCCCUCCUCUGACUCCCAAAGUGCUGGGAUUACAAGCUUGAGCCACCAUGCCCUGGGUUGGGCCAGCAUUUAAAAAGACCUCUGCAUAGGGGGAAGCCUGGGGCAGGGGACAUGAAUUGCUCAGUCCUAACUCACCCCCACCCUUGUAGGAAGCUCUCUAAACUGCUUGGCUGUGUGGAAGGGGCCUGGGGCAGGGAUGUAGGAUCCCCUCAGCCCCACCCCAAGCUCUACCCUGCUUGCAGGUCCAACCUCCUGGGGAACCGCUUCACGGUCUUUGACAACGGGCAGAACCCACAGCGUGGGUACAGCACUAAUGUGGCAAGCCUUCGGCAGGAGCUGGCAGCUGUGAUCUAUGUGAGGACUCCACCUGUCCCCCAUGCCAGGCUGCUCCCCUUACAGGGGCUGGCCUCACAGGCAUCUGUUUCCUUCCCAGGAAACCAACGUGCUGGGCUUCCGUGGCCCCCGGCGCAUGACCGUCAUCAUUCCUGGCAUGAGUGCGGAGAACGAGAGGGUCCCCAUCCGGCCCCGAAAUGCUAGUGACGGCCUGCUGGUGCGCUGGCAGAACAAGACGCUGGAGAGCCUCAUAGAACUGCACAACAAGCCACCUGUCUGGAA